AAAAAAAAAAACACACCCUGAAGACGUCACAAGAGUUAUUCAGAGUCUUCAUCCUCUGAGCAACCGUCUGAAUAUGGGAUGUGCUACAAUAAAUCACAGAAAGCAUGCUAAAAACAUUUUGGUGAUGGUAAUUUCUCAAAUCCACUUCAGAUUUCUGAAGAAGGCUUCUCUGAGGUGUAACUAUGCGGUGGGGUAGCCUUGGCUAACAGACUACAACCUGGUGGCUCAUGCAUUGCCACCAGCACUCCAGUUGGAUGGGAAAAUAACAGGCUCAGCUUCACUAAUUCAGCCUUCUUUACUCCUGCAAGAGUAAAAAGAGGGAGGAUGGAGAAUGUAAAGACAGUACAUAGUGUUAUACAUAGCCUCUCCUCCUCACAUCCUUGAUCCAGAAUGUGGAGCCGGGAUUUUUUUCUUCUGGAACAUCUGCUUGUUCUUGUGUGGGUUUCUCAUGGGUUGCAGUACGGGCAUCUGCUCCAGCAUGGAAUAGUGCCACACAGGUGUGCAUUAAUUUUAGUUGCCUUGCUCUUGGUGUGGAAACUACACCUGCUGGUUACUUGCCUAAUACCAGGUCAGAGUCCCAAAAUGCUUGAAUCUGUUACCAGGUCACAGGCUACCUCUGCGAAUGCCUUCUAUAGGUGUGAAAACAUGAUGGAGGAAAAAUAGUGUACGUUAUGGCAAAGAAUAAAAGAGAGACUGUUUCUGAUCUGCUUAAUAGUAAAGGGAUUUGUGUGCUGCUAGACCCUCAAGGAAUUUCCUUGUAAAUUUUAGUUAUCAGUGGACUUGAAUCAGUAAGAACGGGUAAAUGGAGUUCUUAAAAGUUCAAGUGUUAAACACUUUUUCCUAAUGAGGCAGUUAGCUGCUCAUGGUCUAGACUCUAGAACUCAAAAUAUGUAAAGAUUACCCUAUGUAGUUUUAAAUGAGAAAUUUGGAAGAUUACCUGUAUCUCCACACUUAAAGAUGACAUAAGGUAUAUGUCAUAGUCAAGUAUUUAGUGUGAUCUCAAAUAAUCAUUGGUGAUUAAUAUAUUAUAAUGGCAAAGGUUGUGUAACAAACGUAGUAUUUCUUUACUGGAACAAAGGUUUGUUUGAUAUAGGUAAAAUUGUUGGUAUAGCAUUCUUAAAUUUCUGCACAUUGUUUAAUGCAAUCUCACCUGCUUUUGUGCUAAAGCAAUGCUGUCAGCCUAUGUAAUGAAAGUGGUUAAAUAAAAACUAAUAUUAAAUGAGAAACAACCAUCAAACAAUCAUUGAGGUGAAAUCUUGCAAAGGAUGUCUCAGUAGGUUUUGUUGAGUCCUAGUCUGUCCUUUCACAAGCACAAAAUCUGACAAUUCUCUUCCUCGGCACUUGAAAUUCCAUCUGUAAAAGCAAUAAUGCUUGAGAACUGCUAGGUCUACUUUCGAAAUAUUGCCCAUCAUUUCACUGCUUUGUUAUUUGCUAUGAACCCAGCUAAACAGGGAUAUAGGCUGCUUUUAUCCAUUUGCUUUUAUCAUAGUUUUAUCAUCUAGAUCUUCUCUCUUCCUGGUAUUAAUGCUCUUCUCUAUUUAUAGAUAGCAAUUGUUCCAGAUAAGACUUCAUUUUGCAACAUUAGGAAAGAACAA